rnacentral:rRNA from 1 species
GACGAACGCUGGCGGCGUGCUUAACACAUGCAAGUCGAACGGAAAGGCCCUGCUUUUGUGGGGUGCUCGAGUGGCGAACGGGUGAGUAACACGUGAGUAACCUGCCCUUGACUUUGGGAUAACUUCAGGAAACUGGGGCUAAUACCGGAUAGGAGCUCCUGCUGCAUGGUGGGGGUUGGAAAGUUUCGGCGGGUGGGGAUGGACUCGCGGCUUAUCAGCUUGUUGGUGGGGUAGUGGCUUACCAAGGCUUUGACGGGUAGCCGGCCUGAGAGGGUGACCGGCCACAUUGGGCCUGCGAGACGGCCCAGACUCGUACGGGGGGCAGCAGUGGCGAAUAUUGCCCAAUGGGCCGACGCGUGAUGCAGCAGCGCCGCGGGCGUGAUGACGGCCUUCGGGUUGUAAACCGCUGUCGCCUGUGACGAAGCGGUAGUGACGGUAAUGAGUAAAGAAGCACCGGCUAACUACGUG